ACAGAGUUAUCCAACUCCCAAACCCAUGUGAACUUAUCUCUUUGUUGCCUCGGCGCAAGCUACCCGGGACCUCGCGCCCCGGGCGGCCCGCCGGCGGACAAACCAAAACUCUUGUUAUCUUAGUUGAUUAUCUGAGUGUCUUAUUUAAUAAGUCAAAACUUUCAACAACGGAUCUCUUGGUUCUGGCAUCGAUGAAGAACGCAGCGAAAUGCGAUAAGUAAUGUGAAUUGCAGAAUUCAGUGAAUCAUCGAAUCUUUGAACGCACAUUGCGCCCAUUAGUAUUCUAGUGGGCAUGCCUGUUCGAGCGUCAUUUCAACCCCUAAGCACAGCUUAUUGUUGGGAACCUACGGCUUCGUAGUUCCUCAAAGACAUUGGCGGAGUGGCAGUGGUCCUCUGAGCGUAGUAAUCUUUUAUCUCGCUUCUGUUAGGUGCUGCCCCCCCGGCCGUAAAACCCCCAAUUUUUUCUGGUUGACCUCGGAUCAGGUAGGAAUACCCGCUGAACUUAAGCAUAUCAAU
rnacentral:rRNA from 1 species